rnacentral:lncRNA from 1 species
GCAGCCUUUGCAGAAGGACGAUCUGCAGCAUACAGAUUGUUCGCAACAAUCAAGAGGAAACCAGAAAUUGACCCUGACGACCCAAGCGGCAAGCAGUUAGAAGACAUCAAGGGUGAUGUUGACCUAAAGGAUGUGUACUUUAGCUACCCAGCAAGACCAGAUCAACUAAUAUUUGAUGGAUUCUCAUUACAUGUGUCUAGCGGCACUACAAUGGCUAUAGUUGGGGAGAGUGGAAGUGGCAAGUCAACUGUCAUAAGUCUUGUGGAGAGAUUCUAUGAUCCACAGGCUGGUGAGGUUUUAAUUGAUGGCAUUAACAUUAAGAGCUUGCGGCUUGAUUGGAUAAGAGGGAAGAUCGGUCUUGUUAACCAAGAACCAUUGCUCUUUAUGACAUCUAUCAAAGAUAACAUAUCAUAUGGCAAAGAGGAUGCAACAAUUGAAGAGAUCAAAAGAGCAGCUGAGCUUGCUAAUGCAGCAAAUUUCAUUGACAAAUUGCCCAACGUAUGCCACAGAUCCAAUGAAUUAACUUCUUUACAUCCUGUAUCUUAUAUUGAGCUCAGUGCUAAUAUUUUUCUGUUUCUCUCAUACCAGGGCUAUGACACGAUGGUUGGCCAACGUGGCGCUCAGCUCUCAGGGGGCCAAAAGCAAAGGAUUGCUAUUGCAAGAGCAAUAAUUAAAGACCCCAGAAUUCUGUUGUUAGAUGAGGCGACUAGUGCAUUGGAUGUUGAGUCAGAGAGGAUUGUUCAGGAAGCACUGAAUAGGAUCAUGGUGAAUAGAACAACAAUUGUGGUUGCACAUCGUCUGAGUACUGUGAGGAAUGCCGAUUGCAUAUCAGUUGUUCAACAAGGGAAAAUAGUUGAACAAGGUUAGGAUCCCUUUUCCAUUGUGCAUUGUGCAUUUGCAUUCAUUACAUGCACACCAUGUUUUAACUAAGCAAUCAAUUCCUUGAAUCAAAAAAUAUUUCACAGGACCCCAUGAUGAAUUGAUAAUGAACCCUGAUGGUGCUUAUUCUCAACUUAUUCGUCUGCAAGAAAGCCAAGAAGAAGAGGAACAGAAAUUAGAACGUCGCAUGUCUGAUAAAAGGUCUAAAAGUAGAAGCCUCUCACUGAAGCGAUCGAUAGGCAGAGGUUCUGCAGGAAACAGCAGUCGGCAUUCUUCGACGGUCCCAUUUGGUAUGCCUGGUUCAGUUGAGUUGCUCGAAGAAAAUGAUACAAACGGGGAGAAUCAGAAAGAGCAGGCUGAUGAUAGUGAGGCCCCAAAGAAAGCUCCUAUGGGACGGCUUGCUGCUCUAAACAAGCCAGAGGUACCGAUUCUUUUGUUAGGAGCACUAGCUGCUGGAGUGCAUGGAGUGCUUUUUCCAAUGUUUGGGCUAUUGAUCUCCAAUGCCAUCAAAACUUUCUAUGAGCCGCCUGACAAACUAAGAAAGGAUUCAAGCUUUUGGGGUUUGAUGUGUGUUGUGCUGGGUAUUGUAUCGAUAAUAUCAGUACCAGUGGAGUUUUUCUUGUUUGGUGUCGCAGGGGGGAAGCUUAUCGAGCGUAUUCGUGCCUUGUCAUUUCGGAGCAUUGUGCACCAAGAAGUUGCUUGGUUUGAUGAUCCCAAAAACUCCAGGUUGACUACCAUCGUUUUGUUCAAUGUAGUAUUUUCUUUAUUUCUACUUAAGGGAUUACUAAUGGCCAAAUUCCAUCUUACAGUGGAGCACUUGGUGCAAAGUUGUCAGUUGAUGCUCUGAAUGUCCGAAGAUUAGUGGGUGAUAACUUGGCCUUGUUAGCUCAGGUCACCUCAUCGCUAAUCACUGGAUUGGUCAUUGCUUUUGUGGCAGACUGGAAGCUCACAUUGAUCAUCCUUUGUGCAAUGCCACUAUCGGGUGCUCAAGGAUAUGCACAAGUUAAGUUUUUGAAGGGCUUCAGUCAAGAUGCCAAGGUAAUAUAUGUAAAAAAACAGGCCUUCAGGUUGUUCUUGUCAUUAUACAAAAUAUGAAAUAACAAUUGAAACUAAGAUCUGCAUUUAUUUUGUCAUUGAGGUCUUCAAAUUACAUAAGAAUAAUGAUCACUCUAGAUAUUAUAUUUUGAAUACAUGCUAAAUGACAAUGUAUUGUUGUUUCUGCAGAUGCUGUAUGAAGAUGCAAGUCAAGUGGCCACUGAUGCUAUCAGUAGUAUCAGGACUGUAGCUUCUUUCUGUGCUGAGAAAAGAGUCAUGGCAAUCUAUGAUCAUAAAUGUGAAGCUUCAAAGAAUCAAGGGGUCAGAACAGGAAUGGUUGGUGGCCUUGGUUUUGGUUUCUCAUUCAUGAUGAUGUACCUUACAUAUGGCCUUUGUUUCUAUGUUGGAGGGCAAUUCGUGCGUCAUAACAAAUCUACUUUUGCAGACGUUUUCAAGGUUAGAAAAUGCAUCAUGUCAAUAGUAUUUUCUUCCUUCAACUUCCUAUUGAAGAUUUGAUUUUAACACGUGUCUUGCAGGUUUUCUUUGCACUGAUGCUGGCAACAAUUGGCAUAUCUCAAACAAGUGCAUUGGCUUCUGAUUCUACAAAGGCGAAGGAUUCAUCUGUCUCCAUAUUUGCUUUAUUGGACCGAAAGUCGAAAGUUGACUCAAGCAGUGACGAAGGUUUGACAUUAGACGAGGUCAAGGGUGACAUCGACUUCAGACAUGUUAGCUUCAAGUAUCCAAGCCGUCCAGAUGUUCAAAUCUUCAGUGAUUUUACCCUACACAUACCCUCCGGGAAGGUUAGCCUAACAUCUCUCUGCAAUGCAAUAUCUUCUCAGUGAUAUAAUCAGCUGCUUACUCCUUUUAUGGUUUUACACAGACUGUUGCACUUGUGGGAGAGAGUGGCAGUGGAAAAUCAACAGUAAUUUCUUUGCUGGAACGAUUCUACAAUCCUGACUCUGGUACCAUCUCACUAGAUGGGGUAGAAAUCAAGAGCCUAAAGGUCGAUUGGCUAAGGGACCAAAUAGGGCUGGUGGGCCAAGAGCCUGUGCUCUUCAACGACACAAUCCGCGCCAACAUAGCAUAUGGGAAGCACGGGGAGGUCACUGAGGAGGAGCUCCUGAAGGUCGCAAAGGCAGCCAAUGCGCAUGAGUUCAUAUCAAGCCUUCCCCAGGGGUAUGACACCACUGUUGGAGAGAGGGGGGUUCAGCUAUCUGGUGGCCAGAAGCAGCGGGUGGCCAUCGCAAGGGCCAUACUAAAAGAUCCAAAGAUUCUUCUUCUUGAUGAGGCAACGAGCGCCUUGGAUGCUGAGUCUGAGCGAAUUGUGCAAGAUGCCUUGGACAAUGUCAUGGUUGGCAGGACCACAGUUAUUGUGGCACACCGCCUCUCGACGAUCAAAAGUGCUGAUAUUAUUGCAGUUCUCAAGGAUGGCGUGAUUGUGGAGAAAGGAAGACAUGAGACGCUGAUGAACAUCAAAGAUGGAUUCUACGCUUCGCUAGUUGAACUUCGUUCAGCUUCGUCAUAGUACCUAGGUUAAGAAUUUUGUUCGCAUCACUAGGCAUUGUACAUCUUCCUUGAUUCUUCUCUUUGUUUUUAUAUAGUUAUAUGGUGUGCUACGAAUUUAUUGGGAUAUACCGAUUUAUUUGGGGUCGCUGCGCGGCUGCUAAAGACAUCAUGUGGUGGGCCGGUUUGCCUUGUGCAUUUUGAAACGAAACAAUUGGAUUGUGCACAAGGCUCGUGGUAUUCAAAGAUUUUUCAAGUGUUGUUUUAAAAUGACUGAGAGUUAUUGUUUUUCUUCACCAUUUAAUCUUCCUACCAGACACAAUCUUACAACGGAGCCGGCUAACAAACUGCCUGAGUCUCACAUCGACGGUAGCAACGUGCCGAUUGAUGUAGAGUAUCAUGAAGAAGAAAGCACCGAGGCAGAGCCAACAGAUGAAGUGGAGGAUAGUGAAUGGGUUCCAGAAGAGGAUGAAGAAGAGGACAGAGAUUUUGAACUAGAGGAGUGCGGAGAAGAAGAGGAUCACACGACCGCACCAGAAGAGGAGGAGGAGGAGGACGACGAUAACUGGGACAAUGACGAGGCAAAAGAGGAUGAGGACUACCAAGCAGAAGAGGAGGAGGAGGAUGGGCAGGAUGGUGACUGGGAUAGUGAUGAGACCGAAGAAGAUGAGAACUAUCAAGCAGAAGAUGAGGCCAAAGAGGAUGAGGAUGACUAUGAUAAAGAAGACGAUGAAGAGGAAGAUGAUGACAAGCCACGUAAGAAGAGAAGAUGUCUAGAUCAAGAUGGUGUUUAAGAGAUGGCUAGAGCAGUGCAUGAGCAGCCUUGCAGCGAGAACCAAGGUUCCAAUAGCAAGGACAAUAUGGACAAAUCAGUUAAUUCUGACGAAGAGAGCCAUGAGGAGAGCAACGACACUGAAGGCACGGAAGAUAUAGUUGAUUUGGGAUUUUUGGAUAAUAUAUUAAUACGUAAAUUUUCAUUAGUUUGGCUAUACUUUGCACGUUUUGUUGAAUUUUGUAUUUAACUAUUUUAUCAAUUUUUUUCUAAUUCUGUGUGCCGUGUCAUGAUUUGGAUAAUUGGAAAGGACAAUUUGCUUUAUUUUACCCCUAAAAAUGAUGUUUCCUUUUUGAGAUUAAUAACCAUAUAUAAGUCAGUAUUAUAUCCAAGAUCUGAUGACUUUUUAGCAGACGUAUGUGUUCAGCAAGAGCCAUUUUGUGCAGUUGCAAGAAGCCACGAAAGGAUUCACGAUCGGGCGCGCCGUUUCACGAUUAAUUAAUAUGCCAUCGCACUACUCUACUGCGCCGAUGCAUAAGCACGGUGUUUCCUCCUCGAUAGUUCCAUUCCUAAACUGCACUGUUCUUUACAGUGUAGGAUGUGUAGAGACUCACGUGUACGACAACAAUGUCAACCUCGCCAGAUUCCCCGAUUGAUCCUUCGGACCUAUGGCCUCCCAAGAUCCCGCAUAGAUGACAAUGAGGAGAAGGACUCUGUCGUAGUGUCAUCUGAUGGUGAGCGUGGGUCCUCGACCGAUAAAUUCUACAGCGUCGAAAGUGACGAAGACAUUAGCGAAGGUGUCGACAAUGACAGCAGCGACAACAAUGACGAUAGCGAUGACGGCGAAGACAAUGACAGCGACGAUGACGAUGACGAUGACAAUGACAACGGUGAAGACGGCGACAGCGGGCCACCUAGCAAGCGCCGUCGUGUGGAUGGCUAGAGUUAGAAUGGUGGAGCUCCCGGCUACGACGACGUCGCGUAAUCUCCUGGCCGACCUUCCAAAUCUUGUGAUAUAUUGUAUUAAUUUCAAUCUUCUUUGUAAAUAGGUUGUCUAUAUGUCUGUAGUCGGAAUGUCUAUGAACGUCGAGCAGAAUUACUUACAUGUAUUAAUUGUUGUUUAUGUAACAUGUAAUCAUGAAUGGCUAUACUCUGCGUAUUUUGUGACUAUUUCGUCGAUUUUGGCUAAUUCUGUGUGCUGUGUCAUGAUUUGGAUAAUUGGAAUGGACAAUUUGCUUUAUUUUGUCCCUAAAAAUGAUGUUUCCUUUUUGAGAUUAGGAGCUCUACAUAUAAGUUUGUAUUAUAUCCAAGAUCUUAUUCUUUUUAGUAGCCGCACGUGUUAAGGAGGAAAGCAUGUACGAGACACAUCAAUUAAAUAAAGGAAAUUAUCUAACAUGUUUCGGCUAAUUAGGGAUGGAUCAGCAUGCAUGCAAAUAAGGAUUUGUCAGGUGGGAGAUUCAAUCAUCCUUUCCUAAUUCGAGGUGCACGUCUUUGAUAUAUGGCAAAGAAUGUGGCGGCUAGUCUUGAUAUAUGGCAAAGUUUCAGUGAUAGGUUUUAGCGAUUAUUCUCUUGUACCCCCACGAUUUUUUCCCCUGAUGAUCAAUUUUCUAUACUUCACGUUUCCUUGUAUAAUCUUUAAUUCAUGCAUGAUAAUUUAUCUCCGCCUGACCUCUGCUAUAUCCAAUUUUAUUAUUCUUUCCUUCUAUAAAGUAGACACAACUUUCCUAUAUAUUCCCUCCACGUACCACUUCGCAACUGUUCUCUCUUUUCCUCGCGCAGGCCACCCAGACGUGUACCUGCAGUUUCCUCUUUGAUGUCUCCUGUUAGCGUAUCUCACAAAUGGAGGUUCAUGUUCCUUUACUCUCCUAAUGCCUCAUAAUUAUAUCACUUUAAGUUGAUGAUGUAAACUUCUUGUGCUUGUGAUUUUCUUUAUGUUAUAUGCGUUCCUAAUUUUCACUAUCAUAAUAUAAUGUAGGGAUACUUUGCUGCAUCAUAUGAUAUCGAUGUUCCUUCCGAGCAGACACGGGGUUAGGUGAAGGAGGGCUUGCCAAUGGGGAUUCGGAAGAAACCACCAUCGACGUGUUCAAGUCAGAUGGGUCUACUAUCACCCAAUGCCUGGUACAUAUAUAUUUCAUCAGUAUAUAUACUUAUAUGCGGUUAUGAUUGCUCGGUAGGUUUUAUAUGUAUUUCAUCUCGGUUUCUACAUGUAUUAACUUACAUGUAUUAAUUUUUGUUUAUGGAACAUGUAAUCGUGAAUGCCUAUAAGGUUAGUUUGAUUAUAGAGGUAGAAACCAUUUUAAGGACAUGUUAUUUUUAGAUUAGUUUAACAUGUCAUUUCAAUUGUGUUAUUUUCCAUUUCUCUAGAUGCCUUAUCUUCCCAUUGAAUUUUCUUAUUAUCUUCCAAAUCAUGGUAGUAUCUGAACAUUCAUGCUUUUUUCAUCUGAUGUUUAAUUGAUAUUUCUUCUUUGUAUUUCAUCUGAACACUCUUGGACCUUUAUUUCUCGAACACUCAUGCUGUAUUUCACGCACGUGCACAUCCACUACAUCAACAUCUAUUUUAUAUUUAUUCAGAACAAUUCUGGUGAUUUCAUGAAUCUGGCGACUGCGAUGGCUCUACCUCAUGGGACUGAGGUGGAUGCAGUAGCGGUGGUAGCAUUUGUUGUUGCAAUGGACUACAAAUUACUUCAUCCAUAUGGAGCAAGGGAGAUCUGUUUGGCGGACACAAAGUUAGUUUUGUUUAGUUAUACAUUUAUUUAAAUAAGAGCAUGCCUUAUUCUAUAAUUUUGUAUAACCCAUCUACAUUAUAAACCAUCUCUGUUAAAGUACACUAGCAUUCCUCCGUUUGGUGGUUGAUCAAAACGAUGUCGACGGGCAUAAACAAUUUCUCGCAGUAGAUGUCAACAACCACAUUGCAAUGGUUGCAAAGGUUAUUAUAGACCAGAAUAUGCGUAAAUACCAACGUUCAAUCUAUUUUGUUGUGGAUUAUGUUUAUUUUGACUUGUGAUGCAUUUUGAUGUUACGAUGAUCUCCAAUUACAGGGUGCCUGGCGGGAACUGCAUUGACUGCAAUCACUUUUUGUGAAACUGCAGCGCACCUGUGGAUGACAUCACUCGAAGGUAAACCAUUAUCAUUAUUUUGAUAUAAUUCCAUGAAAAGUAUUGCUCGUGAAAAAUGGUGUUAUUCUUUUUGCAGAUGUUAUAAAUUCUUUACGAAUGGACUCGAGGUUCAUGAAUGUGUUAAAGAGGCAGUGGCCGCUUGAUCCUACUAUAUUCCUAUACACUUCAAUACACCGCCCUUACCGUCCAUGGGAAAAAAUGUCAGACAACCUUUGAAGUAUCUUUUUGUCGUUGUCAAGAUUAGCGGAUCAAGAUUUAGACUAGUAAAUUUCUUUUAUGCGCGUAAGGCUUCAGAUGGUGACGUGGGAGACACAGGAUUUAGACUGGUUCGGGCAAAGGAACGCCCUACGUCCAGUGUCGGGAGCUGCUCGUGUUGCCCACGCGGGGUUCUGUAGUAGGGGUUAUAGGAGUGCGAGAGAGGGAUUCGGUCCCAGGUCUCUUGGGUGUGCACUGAUGCUCUAGGAGGGUGCCUGUGUGUGUGCCCUGUUGUCUUGGGAGCGUUAUGGUGUCUUUAGUUGUCCUUGGAGCCUCUCCCCUGUCUCAGGUCCCCCAUUCUCCUUUUAUAGCGUAAGGAGACCACCGGGGUUACAGGCGAGACCGAGUGUGGGGAGCGGUAAAGAGAUAAACAUGGCUGGAUAAAAAUACAACACGAAGGGAGGAACCGAGUUCCCAAGUUCCCGGCGUCCUCACCGGCCUUCGACUUCUGCCGGCGCGUAUGCCGGAGGAGGGUGGCCGGCGCCGCGCCCUGUCGAUGGCCUCCUCGGAGGCCGUAGCCGCCGGGUCGUGAUGAUGGCGUUUCGUCGUGACUCGGGUGUCCGUUGGGGGGGAAGGGGACGGCGGAUUCCGCCGUCCUGUUGACGGCUCGCGGAGGGCGGACGUCACAUCCCUACCGCUGUGCGCGCGGGACGCGAGAACGGGCGAGGUUUCCCUCUGCUCCAGGCGGCGCAGGCCAUGAGUGCCUUGUGGCGAAUGGGAGGAGGCCGCAGAUACUGUAGCUUGUACAGUGCGGCCGCACAUGGGUACUUGCAGCAGGUUGCGUGAGGGGCGCGGUCAUUCUUCUUCCUAACAGACCUGCGACGCAUUUAUGGCGAAAUCGAUAGGGGGACCCACGAGAUCUGCACCCGAGGCGGAUACUUGUCUGGCGGGCCCGGGUCAGCCCGACCUCCUACGCUUGGGGUCGGGCGAGGCGGAGACCCGCGGCAGGGGGUCGGACGCUCCCGACCUCAGACCUGCGGUCGGGCGAGGCGGAGCUUGGUCUUCCGGGGGUCGGGGAUGCCGGACCCUGGGAUACGGGGUCGGACGACGUGUUGGGCCGGCGCCAGUCUUGUUACCUUAGGUGGGCCUGGACCUUUACGUUUUGUUGUCUCCAUGAGCUUGGGGAGAUCGUUAAUAUUUCCCCCCAAUACUUUUUGACUAUAUGUUUAGGUCAGUGAAGAAGAUGGCAAAUGCACCCGCGUUCUGUAGCCCGAUCUAACAAUUGUCCAAAUGUUUAUUUUUUCAACGUUUCAGUUUCCCAUAUCUAAACUUGUUGUGGGAGUGUCUACUGAUGAUGAAUGUAGUUUGUUUAAUUUUUAAUAAAUAUUUAAAUUUGGAUUGUUAGUUAUAUGUUAUUUCAGUUUUAAUAAUAUAGUAACUAUUUAUUAUUACAUUAUAUAUAUUAUGCCAUCCUUUUUAUAUCACGUGCGCCGCGCACCUCCACGUCCACCAUUCAUAGAAAAAGCACGCACAUUUGCACAGAUGAAGGCAUGCCUAUUAUACUACUACGGAAAUAUCACUGCAUGCAUAGAAGUAAAUCAGGCGCAUCCAAUUCGGUCAUUCAAUCACUUUGUAAUCUUACUGUCUAUCUAACUGAUGAAUCAAUAGGUCAAUACGCAAGGCACGAAGCACUUCUUGUGCCAAAUCAAGCGCAUGGUGGAUUUAAUUAAAUCAAUCAGCACUUCAGAAGGAAACUUAAAAAAUAUCCAAAAAAGAACUUCGAAUGGGAUUUAAAUCUCACGCAUGGCACCUCCCCUUUGGCCUCGGCGCUACCGAUGGCGGCAUGCGCUUGGCCGGCGGAGCAGGCGCAAGCGGCAAAACUGCAGGCCCUCGUGCGCUCGACUACCGCCGCCCACCUGCACCUCCCGCCCGAGCUGCACGCCUGGGCACCUGUGCCCGAGCCCGCGUCGUGUGCCCUCCGCCUAGCCGCGCGCGCCCGCUCCCCGCGCCCCGCCCGAAGGCUCGCCGCUGGCCUCCUGGUGCCGCCGUCGCACCCAGCCGUGAGAGGAUUGAGAGAGAGGGGGAUCCGGAUUCCGGGGAGAGAGACGACGAGAGGUAGGUCAGGUCGGCCUCUUGAAGCAAUAUGGAAGAUAAGGGGCAACUUUGGCCGCGUUCGAUUUAUUGAGAAGUUUAAUCCGUGUUACAUCGAAUAUUUGAAGGUUAAUUAUGAGGAUUAAAUAUAAGUUAAUUAUAAAACUAAUUGCACAGAUGGAGGCUAAACGGCGAGAUGAAUCUAUUAAGCCUAAUUAAUCCAUCAUUAGCAAAUGUUUACUGUAGCAUCAUAUUGUCAAAUCAUAGACUAAUUAGGCUUAAUAGAUUCGUCUCGCCGUUUAGCCUCCAGCUGGGUAAUGAGUUUUGUAAAUAAUCUACGUUUAAUACUCCUAAUUAGUAUCUAAAUAUUCGAUGUGACAUGUGCUAAAAAUAAGUCAGAGGAACCAAACAACCCCAUCUGUUCGCAUGGCUUUUGUUAUUUUUCUAAUUGCUUUAUUCCAGGUGUUGGUAACAGAUUUAGAAUACGGGCAAACACGUUCGUUUUUUACAAGCGGGGUACAACAGAUUUAGAAUACGGGCAAACCCGUUCGUUUUUUAAAAGCAGAGUAAAAACACAAAGUGGAAGAGAGUGGAGUAAAAUCAUAAUUGCGGCUUAAAAUAGGGUAAGAAGGCAACAAUCCCAUUAAUAAAUAUUUAAAUAAUUAAACAUAUCAAAAUAAAUAUAAAAUAAAUAUUUCCAUAAGCAUAUAUAUCCUUUAACAAUAUAAAUAAGUACAUUAAUACAUAUAAGUGUAAUUUAUUCAUUACAUAAAUAAUAUAAUAUAUUUAAAAUUAAUAUGGUUAGCCAUAUUAAAAUUGAAGAAAUGUUAUCAUUGUAUAUCAUUACUGAUAUUAGAUUAACAUAAUUAUUCAUUUAUCAUAUAGAUAUUUUUAAUAAUUUAAAUGGUGCACAUCAUUAUUUUAUUAACAAUAUUAAAAUUAACAUCAUUUGUAGAUAGCGUUGGAUAUUCCACAUUUUUUUUCAAACACAAAUCUGAAACUGAAUGAAGAAAAAUACUGAAAAGCGAAUCCGGAUACAUUCCUUUAACAUCAUAUUAAAAAUAAAUACAAAUACAAAUAUCUAUAUUAGUAUUUUUUAUACGAGUGCAUAAUUUAGAUAUCACAUCAUAUCCAUCCCUAACCAUCGUGCUACUGGCUACUGCGACCAGCGAACCGGCCCCAUAAAUACCCUUGCAAAGUACUAGGCUGAGCCGUAGAGAGCCGCCCCCAAGGCAGCGCUUACACCGUACACACACCGAGCCGCGAGCAAUGGACGCCGCAGGAGGGAGGGAUGGCGAGGAGAAGGAAGAGAAGAAGGGGAACGGUGGCGGCGCCGGCGAGAAGAGGGUGUCAUUCACGGGUCUGUUCCGGUACGCCGACUGCACGGACGUCCUGCUGAUGAUCCUCGGCACGGUGGGGGCGAUGGCCAACGGCGUCACUGAGCCCGUCAUGACGGUUAUCUUCGGCCAGGUCAUCAACGCCUUCGGCGGUGCCAUCGGCGUGGACGACGUCCUCAGCCGCGUCAACAAGGUGAGCUCGCCGGAGACACCUCCGCCACGCUACCUAGCUAUCUCGUUGCUUGCCAUUCUCUUCUCCGUAGCACAUCUGCACAUGUAUGGCCGCGGAGACGGCCGUGAUCGGGCCGAGGUCAAAUCCCGUCUCAUGGCGGUCUGAUGAUCUGACCGAGAUGGAAAGCUCUGUUAAAUCUUGGCGUUUGUGCUUUCUUUCACUGCCCCAGGAGAAUGAUGGGGCGCGUAUCCUGCCUUUUGGCGCCAUUAGUCAUAUGGUGUUUGCUCUCUUUUCAUCUUUUAAUUUCUAUCAAAAUUUGCUAUUUCUUCUUGUUCUUGAAUCUCGAGAUAAAAGAUGGAUCGAUACCAACUGAAACUGGUAGUCUGGUACUUAUUAGAAAUCAAAAUGAUUCCACGAUCCCUGUUUUGACAGGAACUUAACUAGUGACUUCAAAUAUCAACAAGAUGCCUUCCAAUUCAAACGCGGGAAAUGCUUUGCAUGCAAAAUAUUGCACCGCUCCUUCAUUCUUCUUGGAGUAGAUUGUUCUCAUCUGUUCAGCUAUGCGUUUGAACCAAGUUUUAAUAUUUUCAGACCAAGGGGUCAAACUUUGCCAAAAAGAACCGUUUCAGGAUAACAAACAACUCAACAGGGGAGCCUUACAAUAAUGAGUGACGAGUCCUCCUCCCCCCUUCCUGGCCGCUGGCGACCCUGCGGGCGCCCCCCCUCCCGACCACCCCCGCCUCGUCGGGCGCUGCUCCCUACCAGCCGCCUCCCAGCUCCACCGCCCCACACGCCGCUGCCUCCAGCGCCACCAACGCCACCCAAUCCUCUGCCAACCCUGCCUCCGCCGCCCGCCGCGGCCCUCCUUUGCGGUGCCCCAACGCCCUGCGCUUCCGAGCAUGCGGGCCGCCAGACUGGGUGACCAUCGGCUUCACCUCCCCCCUGUGCCCCUUCCUGAGGACCCUCCGGCGACGCCCUCUCCUCUCCGAGCCUCUCGCCGGGUGAAGCCUUUUGGGAUUACGCCCUGCGUAAUUUCCACUCCGUCGUGCUCGCUCAUGUCUCCGCCUCCCACGCCGCUGUUGUAGCCCUCGAUCAUCUGGGUGAGCCCAUACCCCUGCCUCUCCUCUUGUCAGCUGCAAUGGAUGAAGAACACCAUCAAUUUCUGGCUUGAUGGCAGUACGCCUCUAGUCCCCCUGCUCGAGGUUGCUCCUUUCAUCUUUAGCCUCGAUGUUGCCGCCCCUCCAAUGCUCAUUUCCUUCUCACUCUCGGGAAUCUCCGCCAUGGUUGAUGCUGCAUCCAAUUCUUCCCGGACCUCGCAACGGUAACGGCCUCCAUUCCCGGUUUGAACUCCCCUACCCCGUUCUUGAUGGGAUUCCCCUUGGGCUGUGAGUCCUCCUCUGGGCCACCUUCUCCUUCCGGCCCAACUGCGGCCUGCACUCCUCCUUCUGUUGGUGCGGCCUUCCCCCACCCUGAGGGUGCACCACUACGUGGAUGUAAUAGUCAUCAUCUCCGUUAGGCUUCUCCUGUCGUGCACAUCGCCUUCACUCCAUGCACCUGAUGCCCACCCUCUUGUGGCGCUAUCACCCCUGCGCCAUCCACCUCUCCAGCUGGUGCCCAUCUAUCCGUCCUGCAGUGUGCCCGGUGCACGGGCCUGCUCCCCCUUCCCUCGAUUCCCGGGUUCUUCCCCCCGCUCCCCGCCUCUCUAUCUCCCACGCCAUACACCCCGCAGAAAACCCCAAUCCACCGCGCCUCCUUUGCCGCUGCUGCCGCCUCUCCUACCAAGCCACCACCGCAACCUUCACGCCCUCCGCCGCAUGCGCCACUCCCGCCGCUCCACCGUCGCUGCUUCCGCUGCCUCACCCUCGAUCAUCAUCGGGCGACAUGUAGAGACCCCAUUCGCUGUCGCCGCUGCUGGAUAUCCGGCCACUCCGAGCUCCACUGCAGGGCGCCCCCGCACCGCCUUGCCAUGCCGUGCCUCAACUUCAAUGGCGCCUCCGAGCAGAGCUCCCCUGGCUUCCCUCCCCUAUCAGCCCGGCGCUCUACAACUUCCUCCUCAUCCUCCAGGCUUACUCCCCAACCCGAUCCCCCCGAUGGACAUGGAGCUGGACCUGGAGGAGGGGGAGAUUCCACCGCGCCAGCCCCGGUAGCUGCUGAUGCCGACUUCGAUAGCUCCGACGAUGCUCUCCUCGACACGGAGAAUCUCCUGCUACCCCAGCACCCUGAUUCCGUCGACGUCUUCAUGUCGUCCUCCCACAUGGCGUGCUUCACCCACCUCACUUACUCCAUCAUCGACCCGCCACAUCAGGCGCCCAACGACGCCAUCCGCGAUUCCCUCGUGGCGCAUGGUAGUAACCCGCGCGUCAUGCUCACUCCUUCUUCCUACGGCGCCAUGCUCAUCAUGUUCGAGUCCAAUGCUGUGCACGAACACUCCAUGAACGCGCAGCCCUUCCUUGGUCGCGAGCAUUCCAUCACCCUAGAGUGCCAUGAUGAGACGGCCAACCUCUUCCACUUCGAGCACGGUGCGCUCAUCUCCCUCGCCAUCAAGGACUUCCCCAUGGAGCAUUGGAACUGCGAGUGCAUCAUCUACUCCAUGAGGCCCUACGCCAACCCGCACCUCAUCGACCCGAUCUACCUCCAUGGGAUUGACUUCUCCGCCGUCCUGCUCAUGGUGAAAGCUUAAGGUGAGGCCGAUAUCCCGCUUGAGGAGUUCUUCAAAAACCAUACUGGGCUGGGCACCUUCACUAGGGUUGAGAUCAUCCACGUCCUUGACCUGGAGGACUCUAACUCGGACUCCUGUGGGCCACCCUCGCGUAGCCCGGAUCACCCGUCCCUUAGCAGCCCUACUAGCAUAUUGGAGGAUGGCGACAACCUGGAUGGGCUUGGUGUGGCAAGACUCAAAUCUGGCCUCGCAGACGGCCCACCAGGCGGUGGUCCAUCCACUGCACCCCCGCCUCCCACCCCCGGUGCGCCCAGUACGUGCAUCAUCGCCCACACCUACCUAGAAGGCCCGAUGUAUGCCCGGUGCGGGGACAGCCCCAUGAUGCUUCGCGACAUCCUCCUUGUGCCCUUGGGCUGCAGGCGUGGGGACAUCAUCUUCCUAGAGGUACAUGCCCGCCUGCUCCUCGUCAAACCGUCCUUUGUUGAGGUGUUCCUCCACCGCGGCUCUAUUUUCGAGGUCGUGGUCACUGCUCCCGACGGUGACCGUGGUGUCUACAAGGUCCCACUAUAGCCAUUCUGCACAGACGUGCACGGGGACUAGGGCAUGCUCAUCGUCAACUUCUGCUUGGCGUCCGUGGGCUUCCUCCACUAGGUCUCCAUCGUGGGCGAGCGACGGAACGUCUUCUUCUCCACGAACGUUGUCAUGUGCGCCGCCUCUGGGCCCUAGCCGCCAGCGAACAUCUCCCUCCGCUACACCAUGCUCCUCUACGACGGUCCGGAUUUGGCUGCCCUAGCGGCCAUAGAGGUUGCAGUUCAGGCCCUCUUUCGCCGCAACUCCUGCCACCUCCGGUGGCGCUAGGUGCACUUGACGAUGACCUCGUGGUAGGGACUGCCUCUUAGGAAUUCCAGUUGGACGGGUUUGGACCCAAAACCUACGAGUUUUAGACCCGAUGGGGGUGGGGGCAGGUCUGUUUCCCUCCCUCCCGCGGGUUUGCGGGUUCGGGGACCUGAAACUGGGUGGGGCGGGGGUGAGUUUCUAAUCCCCUCCCCCCGCGGGUGACCCACGCGAGGCCCCGAAUUACAUUCCAGCCUAAAAAUUAGAUGUAGCCCAGCCCAACAAGCAAUUGGAAACCUAGAUAUGUAAGCUCUCCCAACCCUAUCCUCAUCCUCCUACUCCACUGUCUGGCCCUCACCCUCGCCCCUCGCCUGUGUGCGCCGCCCACCGCCUGCUCCCCUCGCCCGCGCCCCUCGCCCGAGCACCACUGGCCGCCUGCGCCUCACAUGUGAACUGUUGUCUUGCUCGAAUUUCGGGGGGCCCGUUGGGUUUCGGGCACCCGUGGGUUUCGAGGGUGGGUGCACAUUGUCAGUCAAAACAAGGUUUGAGUUUGGGGCGGGUUUUAUUCUUGAGUUUCGGGAGCGGAUCCGUGGAAGCUCCACCUGACCCCAACCCGUCCCAUUGCCAUCCCUACUACCUCUGAGGCACCAGCUGCUGCCCCCUGCCAUCGGCUCCGGUGGGGAGCCUUGGCACUGCUGGUGUUGUUGCUGAGGUGAGCAGCUUUUUCUCCUCUAGCUUCAGCUCCCUCCAGCUCAAGGCCCCCGUCACCGUGGCUGACAACUACACCGUCUUCCGUGCACCCUCCGACGAUGAUGCCCUGACCAUGCUCCCUCUACCUUAGCAAUGGUUUGCGGACUCCACUACCUCCAUGGCCUUGAAGCCGACGACCUCAAGUCUCCCAACCUCACGCUACGCCCUCGACGCGCCCUCAACAUGACAUCUAGAUGAUCCCGGUGACCGCGCUCCACCCAGAGACUGUUGCAGCCCAGGUAGAGGUCAUUGCUGCGGCCUCCAAUGACAUCCUCACUCCACCAGCGUUGGCGGUAAACAUCGACCUAAUUUUCCAUGAGACACUCACCCAGCCACGCUUGCCCCGGCGUCGCCACUUGAUGAUGGCCGCAGGUGCAGCCUUCGUCUCCACACCAAGGAACACCCACAGCAGGAGACAGUGGCUACAGCCGUGGUACGCAUCAAGAAGCGCAAGUACGACACCGACGGUCACCCUGCCUCCUCCUCCUCCAGCGUCCACCACAUCAGCUCCGACUCCAACUCCGACGAUGGCUCGACUCCUCUGGUGACUCCUCAGGCUCCACCGUGCUCGCUGCUGCCGCUACGUAGGACAUCGCCUCUUCUACUGCUGCUGCUCCAGCACCUCCGACAUGGAAGGUUGAGGACCUAUAGCUGCUGGGCCGCGCGUGUCAUGUUUCUAAUAGCUACCUCUCCUCCAUGGCCCACCUCCCUACCCCGCAGGUGGAGAACCUCGACUAGAUGAUGCGUCCUCUCUUCGACAUGCUCCAAGGACCCUUUUGCUGCUACGAUUGCGACGAUGUCGCCAUUUAUGUAAUCUGCGCACGCUAGAAGAAACUCUACCCUGAUGAUCUCGAGGCUGGCUUAUAUUGGCGCCCAUGUAUGAACCUUCAGAGCCUGUUGUGCCUUGCACGACGACUCUUGCUGUCGGAACAUGGUUGGGGCUCCCCCUUCAUGUUUUAUUGCUUGUUUGCUUCUUUCCUCGGGGUUGCUUGCUUGAUCCUCACAUUGGUGUAGUUCUGGUUCUUCCAUGGGUAGCCAUCCAAGAUAGAUCUCCAUCCUUUCCUGGAAUGUUCACGGCCUGGGUGACAAGAACAAAUGCAGUCAUACUCGGCUUGCGUUUUCCUUCCCCCUCUAUUGCUUGCCUCCAAGAAACCAAACUGCCUAACAUCUCCCAAUUCAAAGCUGACACCUUCCUCCCUCACCGCCUUGCCUCCUCCUUCUCCUUCCAGCCCUUCAUUGGCAUCUCAGGUAGUGUUCUAACAGCCUGGGACCCAAACCUACUCUCCCUAACUUCCUCCUCAGCGCGCCGCUUCACUUUAACCACAACCUUCCAAGCCACCACCACAAACCUAUCCUUCACCAUCACCAAUUGUUAUGGCUCCUGCGACGCCCCUACCAAACCCCUUUUCCUUGAUGAACUUGCUCAAAUAUGCACCUCCACCACCGACCCUUGGUCACUUCCAGCGGAUUUCAACCUCAUUCACUUGCCAACUGAGUGGUCAAAUGAUAAUUUUGAUCAUGUCAAGGCCACCCUCUUUAACAAUGCUAUUGACUCCAUGGCUAUGUAGGAGAUCCCUUGUUGGACAGAUGCUUCACCUAGUCCAACCACCAAGAAGAACCAAUCCUCACCAAGCUUGACCGGUUCUUCAUCAAAUAUGACUAGAGCUCCUUGAUCCCUGGUGCGGCUGUCACCUCCACCUUGGCAUAUAAGUCUAAUCACUGUUAGCUCUUCCUCACCGCCUCGACCACUAUCCCCCGCCGGUGAUCUUCUGGUUCAACAACCACUGGGUACGCCUCGAAGUCUUCACACAACUAAUCCAAGGUCUACCAGUGGAAUUGGGACCAUGUUGUCGACGAUCUUCUCAGUCUACUAGACCACUUCCACCAAGGCACCGCAAAACUGCACAGGCUCAACAAGGCAUUUCUUGCGCUUCUGUCCAAGAAGGAAUCAUCUGUCUUGCCUAAGGACUUGAGGCCUAUUUUGUUACAUAAUUGUGCAACCAAGAUCUGCUCCAAAGCCUUGACCAUGCGCCUGCAACCUUGCAUCUCCCAGCUAGUGCACUUGGAUCAAACUGGGUUCCUCAAAGGCGGUGCAUCACUGAAAACUUUGUUUACGCAGCUGAAAUUGUGCAAUGCUGCCACAAGCAUGGUGCGGCCGCCAUUGUUCUUAAAUUGAACUUCCGCAAGGCUUUUGAUUCCAUCAACUGGGAGGCUAUGGAAUCAUUUCUCCAAGCGAAAGGCUUUCCUGACCUUUGGUGCCAAUGGAUCAACCUCCUCAACGUCUCCAGUCAGGUAGAGGUGGUUCUCAAUGGUGUGCCAGGGAAAUGGAUUCAGUGUAAGAAGGGCCUGCGCCAAGGAGACCUAUUAUCGCCCUACCUAUUCAUCCUCAUGGCUGAUCUACUUCAACAGAUGAUCCUGCAUGCCUCUAACCUUGGACAGUUGUGCCACCCGCUUGUCAACAACUUGUCGUGCCCCGUGCUACAGUAUGCUAAUGACACCUUGAUCAUCCUUCAAGCUGACACCACCUAGCUAACGCGCUUGAAAGAAUUGCUGGACACCUUCUCCGCCACGAUCGGGCUUUACAUCAACUAUGAUAAGAGCACCUUCCUCCCCAUUGGCGUCGUGGCCAGCGAUGCCUCUCUCAUGGCUUCGAUCCUGGGGUGCCAAUUUGCCUCCUUCCCCCAAACCUACCUAGGGCUGACGCUGUCUGCCUACAAGCUUCGCCUCUCUAACAUGAUGCUGAUGGUGAGAGCUGUUGACAAUUAUGUUCUAGGAUGGUGUGGCCCUUGCUCACCCCAAGUGGUCAGACUACACUGGCCAAUGCCGUGCUUGGUGCUCGUGCUGUCUGUGUCAUGUGUUCUAAGCUCCUUCCUGCUACUACGGUCCAAGUCAUUGACAUCAUGAGGCGUGUUUGUUGAUGGCAGUUAGCACGCCAGUUUGUUAACCACAAGCGCACGGAUCAUCGUAGUUUUUCUUUUAGAGUAUUCCAUCCAAGGUUUAUCAAUCCGUGGAUUGGCAGCGAACUAACUAGAGUUUUCCAUCUAAUCUAACGGAUCUAAUCCUAACAUGAAGCAUAGAUUGCAUAUGAAGAGGGUAAUCUUGGUGUAAAGGUAAAUUAUGAGAACAGGUAGAUCACAUCCACAUAUAUGUAUAUGAUAAAACACCAUCAAGGGUAGUAAGAGCCUAUCGUCUUCUAGCUGUAGUUCUAGCUAACAAGCAAGUACAACAUGCAUCUCAUCCAAAGCAAUCUUUAAACUACUACCUCCGGUCAACCUCCCGAAAACCCCCACCUUACACAAACCAAAUCCUGUCACGAUCCUCUCUAUCAGUGCACACAGUUUAAGGGCAGAAACACAAGUGAACAUAUCUAAAUAUCAUGAAGGGUCAAAUACUAGAUCUAAUCACCAUGAUUACAUAAAGCAUGCUAUGAAAUCUAACCUCGAAUUAGACUAAGGAACAAGCAUAUUCAUGAUAAGAAGAAAGCAUAAAAGGAGACAACAGAGUCGCUAAUAGAUCGGAUGACGUGAAGAAUAUUUCUCAUAUAAUAGAUGUAUUUAGAUCAUCACCAUCGAGUACAUACCAUUGAUGAUCAUAACUAGCUCCUGAACUCCACCAUGACACAACCGCGCAGGGAGGUCAUGGUGGCUAGGGUCGGCCUAAGCCAUCUCCUAGACAACUACGAAGAUUUGCAGCGGCCCUCAGCUCCCUCUAGUGGAUGUCCUUCGUUUCGUUGAGUUCUCGUGGAUGGAUGCCGAGGCUCGGUGAAUUUUUGAGGUAUUUAUAGUCCGGGGAGCGCAUGGUGAAAAUUGGAAGGAGAGAGAAGUAAGGAAAUCCUCAGGUCGAUCGGCCUGAGGGGUCCAGGCUGAUCGGCCUGGCCCUUCCUUAUGGUCUCUCGUACCCUCCUUCGUCACCAAGUCUUCUUUGAUGAUAUGGAAACUUAUUUUUACUUGCAUGCAGGAAUUGCACGUCGAUAGCCUCAGGAUAAGGAUGGAUCUUGAUAUCUUUCCAAAGUUCUGCUUGCUUCUGAACUUGUCAUAUCUUAUGAAACUUAGCCCCUAAAUAAUCUUGGAGAAGUCUUCGCCGAAGAUGAGCAUGAUCGGGGCCCUGAGGACCCUAGGCCGAUCGGCCUGGGCCUCUAUAGGCCGAUCGGCCUAGGCCCUUUUUGCACCCGUUAGCCUUCGUCUUUCUUUGGAUUAUUGCUUGUUGAGGGCCUUGUCCAAUUAUGCUCCAAUAUAGUCCAAUUUCCUGCAAAAACAGAAUGUCCUCCAAAAUACAAUGCAUAUGCGAAAACAGGAUUAUUUUAGGUGUCAAGUAGCGGAUUAGUAUAAGAAAAAUAGCAUUAAAAGUGUGUCAAUAACGAGCGUCAACAGUAUUUUCAUCUGGACGGGAGACUCCACCUGCCAUGGCAGCCAGUGCGAAGUUGUUUGGAAGAUGGUCUGUUGGGACAAGAGCAGCGGCGGCUGGGUGUCAAAGAUCUUGCUUGCCAAAACUGAAGUCUGCUGAUCAAGUUCUUGAGUAAACUCCACCAGCCUUCUACCACCAACUGGCAGCGCUGGUUCCACAGCUUCUAUGGGCAUGAAGCUGGCCGAGACCUUAGCGAUACCCACCACCUUGAUACUCCAACAUGGUCCAUGCUCCUGCCACUCCUACCGGAAUUCCGGCGCUGCACGACCGUCCACCUGGGCGACGGCCUCUCCGUCAGCUUCUGGCACGACCACUGGAUUGGGCUGGAUUGGGCCGCAGCUGCUGGCUUCCACCUUCCGGGCUCUGUUCUCCUUCUGCCGGCGAUCCAACAUUUCUGUCCACCACGCUUGGGCGGAAGGGCAGUGGGAUCUCCAGCUCCACCCCCGGCUCAGCACCGCCGCGACCGCAGAGCUGACCGUCCUGCUCUCCGCUCUCCAGCACGCCCAGCCGGACGUGCCCGACCGUCGCGGUAUUGGCGUUCAGCUGCAACCCUUCUCUACGUCGGGAUUCUACAGUUGCCAUAGAGAGCUCCUCCCUCCUGAUCCUUUUGCACCCUGCAUUUGGAACAACGCCGCCAUCCCAAGGUGCAAGCACUUCCUUUGGCUGGUUCAUCGACAGCGCCUACCAUCUGCUGCACUUCUCCAUCACCGACACAUCAUCGAUUCCCCGCUCUGUGCAUUCUGUGGUGAAUAUGAGGAUCAGGAACACCUCCUUCUCCGCUGCCCGCGAGUGCGCCGUCUCUGGAGACAGGAUGGCUGGUCAAUGGUGCCAUACCUCGGCACAUUCCAUGGCUUAUGGGACAUACCGGAGCUCUCGGAGUCCGCUGAUGCAGUCCGCUCCACCGUCAUCACCGCUCUGUUGUGGAACAUCUGGAAGAUGCGUAACUCCGUCGUCUUCAACACUGUCUACCAACCGAUGCGCCUCACCAUCUUUGCUGUGGCUUCAGACCUGGAAUUAUGGAAGCAUCGUGUGCGCCGCUCUACGCUAGUUGAUGCACUGCUGCAAUGGAGUUUAAUUUUUAGCAACAUUGUAACCUAAAUGCUCCCCACCCCUAUGUACUCUACUUUCGCAAAUCUUGUAUGCACCAAAUUUGCAUAUUAAUACAAAAGUUCAGGCCGGCUACUUGCCUGCCAUAGUUCCCCUCCAAAAAAAAAAAAACAAACAACUAACUCAACGCUCCAGGGACCAACUAGCAGCAUAAUUUUUAACAUUUAAUUUAUUUUCUUCGGGGAAUGUUUUUUUCUUUCUCACAUGGGAGCUCACUUGUAUUAAGAUAAAAUGUCUAGUCCAUUUACAAUGUGUUUUUCUGAAAGCUGCCUUUCUGAAGUAGGAAUACGAUCAAUUAGCUAAACACAGUAACUUUAGGUUAUUCCAGUUGAUUGCAACUUGUAUAAUAUGACCAUGUGGAACAGAGUUACUAUAAUUGAUAACCAACCACCACAGGUAAUGGCUGGAAUCUUUCCUGAUCAAAGAUCCGGAACUCUGUCCAAGAAUAGGGUUUGAGAUCAUCCACACUGUCAAAUUUGUCGGUUGCAUGUUUUUUGGCGGCAGUUUUUUUAAUAUGGUUCCUGAAUAAAAUAAAGUCAUGGCAAAACUUUCAUAAAAAUUCAUUUCCUUGCAUUCUUUUUCGAAACAUGAGUACAUUUCUCACCCUGCUGCUGUUCCACUUUACUUUCCUUUCAGGCACUUCUGAAUUUUGUCUACCUGGGCAUUGCAACAGCGGUUGUGUCCUUUCUCCGUAAGUACGAGUAGACUUUGCUAACCCUUUCAAUCUUCAUAUCCGCUUGCACUCUGCAUCACAAGCUGACAUUGCUGCAAAUCCUGCUGCAAACGAUCCCAUCGAUAGUAAAAAGAAUCAUGCAUUACGUACAAUAAAAAGAUAAGCUUAACAAAAAGAAGCUUGUCGCAUAUACCAGCUUGCGCUCAUACCAGUGUGUCAACUUUCAAACAUGGAAGCUGUCAUCACGGAGCAGAGUCCAACUUUGACUUUUGUUAUGUACUUUCAAAGAAGGGUACAGAAAGUUUGUGUUCAGCAGUUCAUGAUAGUGGUUACAAAGCCAACAUGUUUAGAUACAAUAAAAGGUGUACGAUUAAAGCAUUGCUUCGUCAGCAAACUGAUUUUAGAAAAAUCUAGUGCAUGUUUAAGGCAUAUAUAUGAUGCUCGUAGCCUCAUACCAAUAUAAUUGAAUUCAAUGCAUUUUUGUGCAGAGGUGUCAUGCUGGACAAUGACAGGAGAAAGGCAGGCAACACGAAUUAGAUCUCUGUACCUUAAAUCUGUCCUGAGACAAGAAAUAGCAUUCUUUGAUGUCGAAAUGACAACUGGGCAACUAGUUUCAAGAAUGUCUGGUGAUACCGUGUUGGUUCAGGAUGCCAUUGGUGAGAAGGUAAAUAGCUCCCCUCUAUAAAAAUGAAGAGUGCAGAAGCAAACUUUGUGUUGACUAUCACCAGCUUAUAUCGAAACUUGCACAAUUUGACUCUUACGAAACUCUUCAGGUCGGCAAGUUCCAACAACAUAUUGCUACCUUCAUAGGUGGCUUUGUAAUAGCAUUCAUAAAAGGAUGGCUUUUAUCUCUUGUCAUGUUGGCAUGCAUACCUCCAGUUGUUGUGGCUGGAGGAAUGGUCUCAAAAAUGCUUUUUAAAAUCUCUAGCAAGGGGCAAACAUCAUACGGUGAAGCAGGGAAUGUAGUCGAACAGACGCUUGGGGCCAUUAAAACAGUGAGUUCAAUGCACUCGGUGACUGAAUAACGACAAAGAGAAAUCACUACAUUUUCAAUGUGACAUGCACUCACCGGUUUUCUUCUGGCUACAUCUGUAAAACAGGUUGUCUCCUUCAACGGUGAGAAGCAGGCUAUUGCAGCGUACAAUAAACUCAUACACAAGGCAUACAAGGCAGCUGUUGAGGAAGGAAUUACCAAUGGUUUUGGCAUGGGGUCUGUUUUCUGUAUAUUUUUCUCAAGCUAUGGUUUAGCCAUAUGGUAUGGUGGCAAGUUGAUUCUUAGCAAAGGUUACUCAGGAGGAGAUGUCAUCAAUAUCUUGUUAGCUAUAAUAACUGGGGCAAUGUGAGUUUCUCUAAAUCGAGAUAAAGAAAUUCUUUUGAUGAUCCAUGUUGUAUGAUCCAUGUUGUCGAUUUCCAACGUUUUGUGCAGGUCGUUAGGUAAUGCAACACCCUGCUUGGCAGCCUUUGCAGAAGGACGAUCUGCAGCAUACAGAUUGUUCGCAACAAUCAAGAGGAAACCGGAAAUUGACCCUGACGACCCAAGCGGCAAGCAGUUAGAAGACAUCAAGGGUGAUGUUGACCUGAAGGAUGUGUACUUUAGCUACCCAGCAAGACCAGAUCAACUAAUAUUUGAUGGAUUCUCAUUACAUGUGUCUAGCGGCACUACAAUGGCUAUAGUUGGGGAGAGUGGAAGUGGC